CCCCCAAGAGUCCACAUCGACGGGGAGGUUUGGCACCUCGAUGUCGGCUCAUCACAUCCUGGGGCGGUAGUAGGUCCCAAGGGUUGGGCUGUUCGCCCAUUAAAGUGGUACGCGAGCUGGGUUCAGAACGUCGUGAGACAGUUCGGUCCCUAUCCGUCGCAGGCGUAGGAAAUUUGAGAAGACCUGUCCUUAGUACGAGAGGACCGGG
rnacentral:rRNA from 1 species